rnacentral:rRNA from 1 species
UGGGGAAUAUUGCACAAUGGGGGAAACCCUGAUGCAGCCAUGCCGCGUGUGUGAAGAAGGCUCUAGGGUUGUAAAGCACUUUAAGUUGGGAGGAAGGCCUAAUGGUUAAUAACCAUUAGGAUUGACGUUACCAACAGAAUAAGCACCGGCUAACUCCGUGCCAGCAGCCGCGGUAAUACGGAGGGUGCAAGCGUUAAUCGGAAUUACUGGGCGUAAAGCGCGCGUAGGCGGCUAUUUAAGCUAGAUGUGAAAUCCCCGGGCUCAACCUGGGACGUGCAUUUAGAACUGAGUAGCUAGAGUACAGCAGAGGAUAGUGGAAUUUCAGGUGUAGCGGUGAAAUGCGUAGAGAU